UACGUAGGUGGCAAGCGUUGUCCGGAAUUAUUGGGCGUAAAGCGCGCGCAGGCGGUCCUUUAAGUCUGAUGUGAAAGCCCACGGCUCAACCGUGGAGGGUCAUUGGAAACUGGGGGGACUUGAGUACAGAAGAGAAGAGUGGAAUUCCACGUGUAGCGGUGAAAUGCGUAGAGAUGUGGAGGAACACCAGUGGCGAAGCGACUCUUUGGUCUGUAACUGACGCUGAGGC
rnacentral:rRNA from 1 species